GAUGAACGCUGGCGGCGUGCUUAACACAUGCAAGUCGAACGAUGAAGCCCAGCUUGCUGGGUGUUUUAGUGGCGAACGGGUGAGUAACACGUGAGUAACCUGCCCUUAACUCUGGGAUAAGCCUGGGAAACUGGGUCUAAUACCGGAUAGGAGCGUCCACCGCAUGGUGGGUGUUGGAGAGAUUUAUCGGUUUUGGAUGGACUCGCGGCCUAUCAGCUUGUUGGUGGGGUAAUGGCUCACCAAGGCGACGACGGGUAGCCGGCCUGAGAGGGUGACCGGCGACACUGGGACUGAGACACGGACCAGACUCCUACGGGAGGCAGCAGUGGGGGAUAUUGCACAAUGGGCGCAAGCCUGAUGCAGCGGCGCCGCGUGAGGGAUGACGGCCUUCGGGUUGUAAACCUCUUUCGGUAGGGAAGAAGCGAAAGUGACGGUACCUGCAGAAGAAGCACCGGCUAACUACGUG
rnacentral:rRNA from 1 species